UAAUACCGCAUAGUAUCUGUGGAUUAAAGGUGGCUUUUGGGCUGUCGCAGAUGGAUGAGCCUGCGUUGGAUUAGCUAGUUGGUGGGGUAAGGGCCUACCAAGGCUACGAUCCAUAGCUGAUUUGAGAGGAUGAUCAGCCACAUUGGGACUGAGACACGGCCCAAACUCCUACGGGAGGCAGCAGUGAGGAAUAUUGGACAAUGGGGGCAACCCUGAUCCAGCAAUGCCAUGUGUGUGAAGAAGGCCUUAGGGUUGUAAAGCACUUUAGUUGGGGAAGAAAGCUUUGAGGUUAAUAGCCUUGAGGAAGGACGUUACCCAAAGAAUAAGCACCGGCUAACUCCGUGCCAGCAGCCGCGGUAAUACGGGGGGUGCAAGCGUUAAUCGGAAUUACUGGGCGUAAAGAGUCUGUAGGUGGUUUGUUAAGUCAGAUGUGAAAGCCCAGGGCUCAACCUUGGAACUGCAUUUGAUACUGGCAAACUAGAGUACGGUAGAGGAAUGGGGAAUUUCUGGUGUAGCGGUGAAAUGCGUAGAGAUCAGAAGGAACACCAAUGGCGAAGGCAACAUUCUGGACCGAUACUGACACUGAGGGACGAAAGCGUGGGGAUCAAACAGGAUUAGAUACCCUGGUAGUCCACGCUGUAAACGAUGAGUACUAGCUGUUGGAGUCGGUGUAAAGGCUCUAGUGGCGCAGCUAACGCGAUAAGUACUCCGCCUGGGGACUACGGCCGCAAGGCUAAAACUCAAAGGAAUUGACGGGGACCCGCACAAGCGGUGGAGCAUGUGGUUUAAUUCGAUGCAACGCGAAGAACCUUACCUGGUCUUGACAUCCUGCGAACUUUCUAGAGAUAGAUUGGUGCCUUCGGGAACGCAGUGACAGGUGCUGCACGGCUGUCGUCAGCUCGUGUUGUGAAAUGUUGGGUAA
rnacentral:rRNA from 1 species